rnacentral:lncRNA from 1 species
AUUCCUUUCGGUGGGUACAAGCUGAGUGGCAUAGGCCGGGAAAAGGGAAUUUACAGCCUUAACGCUUACUUGCAAGUAAAGGCCGUCGUUCAACCUGUGAAGAACCCAGCAUGGCUUUAGUUUCCUGAAGUUCCCCCUCCCUUUUAAUCUGUGUUUAUGAAUAAGGACAGCGUGCUAAUAUCAGCUUGUAAUUAUGGAGCAAAUGGAUAAUUUACUUUAAAAGAACUUACUUUCUUUUGUGCUGUAAGCACAAUGAUGCCUGUCUGUUGAUCAAGGCAGCUUUCACUGAAAUUUGAAUGGUAUGGAGUGUUAUUGUAUACUUUAUCCUAGAUCCAAGACUGAAAGAUCGAACUGCCAUGAAGGAUUAGCCGGAUUGCCA